rnacentral:rRNA from 1 species
UACGAAGGGGGCUAGCGUUGCUCGGAAUCACUGGGCGUAAAGGGCGCGUAGGUGGCGACCCAAGUCCAUGGUGAAAGCUCGAUGCUCAACAUCGAGUCGGCCACGGAUACUGGGUUGCUCGAGCACUGUAGAGGCUAAUGGAAUUCCGGGUGUAGCGGUGGAAUGCGUAGAGAUCCGGAAGAACACCGGUGGCGAAGGCGGUUAGCUGGGCAGUUGCUGACACUGAGGCGCGACAGCGUGGGGAGCAAACAGG